AAAAAGAACGGAUGGAAUCUGGAAUAUGGCCCAGGCAUUGGGCACCGUGCCUCUGAGGAUUAAGGGGGGGACACAGGAGGUGUCCAGCAGCCUGUGGUCAAGGCCGGGUUCUCUCCCAGGACACUGCCCGUGGCUUUUGUCCUUGGGUCGGCCUGCCUGGCUGCCGUGGCCACAGCUGAGGGCCUGGGAGGAGGCUGUGAGGCCGUGUGGCUGACCGAGUCACAUCUUGGGGUAAAGGGGCUGUGGCUGCGGGCCAAGACCUGUCUGCCCUCUGUAUUUCCCGCCAGGAAAUAGGACAAAGGCAGUUGCAGUAACUUUGGUUUCUGGUGCUACCACUACAGACCUGAAUCUGGGGCCAAGAGGGAGCAGCUUUCACCCCCUUCGUUCCCUCCACUCCCUACUCCACGAGGUGCAGAGAUGUAGGAGCUACCCGGAAGGCCGGCUGCCCACGGGGUUGCUGGGCUCGAGUGGUGAGCUGGUCCACAUACAGGUCCUGGGAAACAGGAUGAGAAGCAGCCCCGUCAGGAGGUGCCCGUGGCUGAGGGCCUGUUCUCCACCAACCCUUGAUACAAGUUGACGCCACCCAGGCCGGCCGCCACCCCUCCGGCCGGAAGCCUUCACGCAGGAGGCAAAGCUGAGCCCCUUUUUGAAGCUCCACGGUCUGGUGAUCAUUAAACAUGUGUCGAGUUUGCAGAAUACCUGCUUUUUCUUCUCGAUUUCUGCCCGGAUCCUCUCCGUCUCGGCCUUCUUUACCACUUGUGUCAUCACGCGGAUGUCGUCACGCAUGUCCUGGUCGAUGUUCUGCAUGUAGAAGAGAUGCAGGGCCAAGUUCUCCAUCUCAGUCUGCAGAGCCGCCACUGCGGGGCGCGGCGGGGGAGAAAGAGAGAGAGAGUGAGUGGGGAGGCUGUCCCAGCGUCCCCCAUGCAGAGACCCAGGAGGAAGCAGGGAACAGCCGUUCUGGGCACCCUUCCUGCCAUUUUUGGCUCACAGCCACUCAGGAAACAGGUAACGGAUGACAAACGAGUGGCAUCCCUUGCACAGAAGGGCCUGUGCAG
ensembl:lncRNA novel transcript, antisense to CCDC40